CUGCCCUUUCAGUAAUGGCCACACUUGCUCAGAGAAAGAUGAGGUCACCAGCUGCGUGCAUCUCAAGGAUGGCCAGAGAAUGGCCCCUUCAGAUGAACUGGGUCCACCCUCAGGAGUUAUUGCGUCACCGCUGUAUCUGAGAGUCCCUCUAGACUGAAGUUAAGCGAUGCAUUUUGCUGAAAGCAAGCCUUGGCGUGCAAGACCACCUUCAAGGGUUCGUGGCUCCAGCUGGGAAGAGAGCAAGAACUAGUAGUAUUGAGCACGUGCUGCAGACACGGGGCUGGCAUCGCUCACAGCAUCUCUCCUCGAAGCAAGGAGACCACCCGCGUGGCCCACGGCAGGAUUCUCGGCAUAAUUUUUUUUUCAGUAUUCGGAACAAUUGUGUCUAGAAGACUAUAAACGCACUUGUUGAUUUAUUGUUUUUUAUAUUGUCCAUCUUACUCUACCUCCUUCCCCGGCUAGAAUAGAUUUAUCUCCUUCUGUCUUCCUUUCCCCCCCUUUUUUUUCUUUCCACCACCAGAUUCCCAGGACCUAGAAGAGUGCUGGUGAGCCACAGCGGGCACUCAGAUAUGUGGAAUGAUUAGGUGAUUUUACCUUAGGGUUUUCUUUUCAUGUCCCUGCAAAGACUCUACCCUAGCAGGUCUUGUGUUUGAUUCCUGAGAACAAAAUGGCCAUUUUGAGCAUUUGCAUGUGAAGAUCGCAUUCUUCUCUGCUGUAAAUAAAACUCAAACAUUUCUCCCA
rnacentral:lncRNA from 12 species